UGCAGUCGAGCGGACAGAAGGGAGCUUGCUCCCGGAUGUUAGCGGCGGACGGGUGAGUAACACGUGGGUAACCUGCCUGUAAGACUGGGAUAACUCCGGGAAACCGGAGCUAAUACCGGAUAGUUCCUUGAACCGCAUGGUUCAAGGAUGAAAGACGGUUUCGGCUGUCACUUACAGAUGGACCCGCGGCGCAUUAGCUAGUUGGUGAGGUAACGGCUCACCAAGGCGACGAUGCGUAGCCGACCUGAGAGGGUGAUCGGCCACACUGGGACUGAGACACGGCCCAGACUCCUACGGGAGGCAGCAGUAGGGAAUCUUCCGCAAUGGACGAAAGUCUGACGGAGCAACGCCGCGUGAGUGAUGAAGGUUUUCGGAUCGUAAAGCUCUGUUGUUAGGGAAGAACAAGUGCAAGAGUAACUGCUUGCACCUUGACGGUACCUAACCAGAAAGCCACGGCUAACUACGUGCCAGCAGCCGCGGUAAUACGUAGGUGGCAAGCGUUGUCCGGAAUUAUUGGGCGUAAAGGGCUCGCAGGCGGUUUCUUAAGUCUGAUGUGAAAGCCCCCGGCUCAACCGGGGAGGGUCAUU
rnacentral:rRNA from 1 species